rnacentral:rRNA from 1 species
AGGAUGAACGCUGGCGGCGUGCCUAAGACAUGCAAGUCGAGUGGCCACUUCGGUGGCCACGGCGAACGGGUGAGUAAUACCUAGGAACGUAUCUUUAGUUGAGGAUAUCCUCCCGAAAGGGAGAGCAAAUACUCAAUGUGGCCGCAAGGCUAAAGUCGCAAGACGCUAAAGAAGCGGCCUGGGCACCAUCAGCUAGUUGGUAAGGUAAAAGCUUACCAAGGCUAUGACGGUUAGGGGUCCCGAGAGGGAUAACCCCCACACUGGAACUGCGACACGGUCCAGACUCCUACGGGAGGCAGCAGUUUGGAAUUUUGGACAAUGGGCGAAAGCCUGAUCCAGCGACGCCGCGUGGACGAUGAAGGCCUUCGGGUUGUAAAGUCCUUUUGCUCGGGAACAAUUUUUGAGCGUACCGAGAGAAUAAGAGGUUGCUAACUCUGCGCCAGCAGCCGC